rnacentral:lncRNA from 1 species
AUGAAAACAUUUUUUUUUUUUAUUGUGCUGGGUACUCUGUACCUUAGGACUCCUUGGUGUUUCUCUGGGGAGAGUUUUGGGUUUCUCUUUUCGGAUUGUUGGUAUUCAAGUGACGCUCUCCAGCAGGUGACGUCUACACCUACGCACUUGGAGGUCCAUUCCAGAAAGCUAAGCCAAGAGUCAAAAAGAGCCAAGGAAAUGGACAUUUGUAGACCUCGAGGGAAACACAGGUGGCAGGGAAGAGUUUCCUACUCUACCCCAACUUCUCGUGUUACUCUGGGAACUCAUCCACUCCUUUUCUGGGGAGCCCAGAUUAAAACAGGGCAGAAGCAAGAUGUGUGCCCCACAGGCCACUGCAGAAGACACAAGACUAUUUGGGGCUCCCUUUUGAUUUUGAACAGGCUGAGAAGAAAAACCCAGCCAAAGAAAGACUGUUCCUGGUCAGAAUCAUACCUUUUAUGCCUCCACUCUGUUUGGGCAAAGCUGUGUUGGAGAACUUAAAGAUGACUAGUGUGUGCGUGAAAAACUGGAAGUGAUAACUGUUGCCUACUGCCAUCAUAAAGCAUAAUACCAUCUCCUGAAGUUCAUGCAGCCCAGAGUUUUGUCUCCUACAUGGGGAAUGAGCAAGGGACAUUUGGGGUGAGCCAAAAAGAUCUGUUUAACUUAAAUGUAAUAAGGUUAGGGUUGCAACACAUUUGUUAGAGCUUCCUUUAAUAAACCACAGUGGGGGAAGGGUUCCUAUAUUUAU